ACGUAGGGGGCAAGCGUUAUCCGGAAUUAUUGGGCGUAAAGAGUGCGUAGGUGGUUUUUUAAGCGUGAGGUGAAAGGCAAUAGCUUAACUAUUGUAAGCCUUGCAAACUGGUAGACUUGAGUGUAGGAGAGGAAAGCGGAAUUCCUAGUGUAGCGGUGAAAUGCGUAGAGAUUAGGAGGAGCACCGGUGGCGAAGGCGGCUUACUGGACGGGAACUGACGCUGAGGUGCGAAAGCGUGGGGAGCAAACAG
rnacentral:rRNA from 1 species